GGGCCCGUAGCUUAGUUGGUAGAGCGUCUGUUUUGCACACAGAAGGUCAGCGGUUCGAAUCCGCUCGGGUCCA
rfam:Candidatus Moranbacteria bacterium RBG_19FT_COMBO_42_6 rbg_19ft_combo_scaffold_6791, whole genome shotgun sequence.